GCCAGGGCGAGGCGACCCGGUGCGGGGGGACUCCCAUGGAGCGCGGACUCCUAAGGAAGUCGCUGGGAAUCCCACCGGCUGUACCGCAGGGCGUUAGUACCUAGAUGGCUUCGGUGCCCCCAAGCGAUGGGCUCAAGCUACAGGGCGGGCUUUGCACCUGGCCUUCUCAGCUCUGAGGCAGGCAGUGGGCAGCUUCGCCUCCACCCUCCGUCCAGCGCCCUUCCCAUGGGGCCAUCCGCCUCUCCCUAAGGCACUAAAAACCAGUGGAGGAGUCAGGCCAUGUUGGCAAAAAGGGCUCGGGCAGCAGCCCCAGACCUAUAGUCCUAAAUAUCCAUGUACCCAGCCCUGGGGUCGCGAGCCAUCUCAGGGACGACCCGAUUCCAGCGGAUGGAGAAGUUCCCUGAAAACACCUGCCUGGGAGGAGAGACGAGGGAACGAGAUUGGGCAAGUGGCAUCCGCCCAGCGGGCUUCUCAAAGGUUUUUAAAGCAGAAUGGGACGUAAUAGGAAGAUGUGUCUAGCAGAGAGUAAAAUAAAGGGGCAUUUAGAGGUGUGGGCACCUGGAUGAAAACAAAGGCUCCAAAGGGAUGAUGGUGAGGGUUACAGCCCACCACAGUAGACAGAGACACCAAGGAAGGAAUGCAGUCAGUGGCCCUGCGUAGACAGUCUCAGGAGAGAGCACACCAGCUCACCCCAGGACUCAUCCAAGGCUGGGGAUGGAUGUCGAUGCAGCAACUCUGGAAGGCAGAAGGUAACAGCUUGCAGCGUGAUAACACCAUGCAGUGUGAGGGAGCUGUAUGCAGUGGAGCCGCAGGGGUUAGUCAGGCCUCGCCCCUAAAUCUGCCUCUUAAAUAAGAGUCCGUUUCAGCCAAACCUGCCUUUUCCAGUUCCGUGGAGGUCAGUCUGCACAGCCAAUCCCUGACAGUGCUUUACCAUGGAACUGAAACCAUGAAAAGUGAAACUGCAAAUGGGAGAGACUGCUGUAUAGUCACUGAAAAAUUAAUGGAUGAGCUCAACAGCAAAUUAGACACAACUGAAACCUUGGACCCAUGUGUGGAAGAUGACAGCAUCACCAACUGGAGGGUGCCUGGAUCCCUGAGUCACCACUUGAAGCAAAAAGGUCAAGAGUAGCCACCUGACCCAUAUCAGGCUAUGAAAUGAGCAGCAUCUGGUUGCUACAGCAACCCCAGCUCUGCAGGGUGUCCCGAUUACCAGCAGGCUCCCUGCACCUGCCUCAGGCUGAGAGCAGGCGGCUGCCGCCAAGGGGAACACCAAGGAAAUGCCCAUGUUCUGAUUCCAAGGUAAUGGCUCAGACCCAAGGGGAUUUUAUCUGUUCAAUGUGCAACCUGAUGAAGUUUUGUCCCAUGUUAAUAAUUUCAUUAAAAAUAUGGCCUUACAUCCU
rnacentral:lncRNA from 1 species